UGGUGGUUGAUGCUGGUUCAAUAUUUGCACCAAGAAGCAUACCAUGCAUACCCUCUGUUGUAAGACUGGUACCCAGGUGACCAACAGCCAUGGCCGCAUUCAGCUGUGCAGCUCUUCAUCCCCUGCCAGAUCUUCUCACCUCUUUGUAGUUUUUCUCGGUGACUGGUAUAGUGGCACUUCUUACAUCGGAUGGAAAGGAUCCAUGCCAGGCCUCUUUUUUCCUUCCCAUGCUGAUUCCAGUUGAGUAGACCAUCACAGUCUGGAAACUUAUGUGUGCAUGAUACAACUUCCUAGAUGGUGUGUAGGAUGUUUAUCAACAUGUGAAACCCAUGUGUAUUUCAGGGAUGGAGUAGUUUCCCCUGUUAAAGAUCAAUAAUUCACAACAUACAAUGCGGCAUGCAGUCUGGUCAUCAAUGGAGAGUUUUGACACCUGUAUACCUGUAUUCUACCAGUCAUCUUUGUAGCCUUUGUUGUGUUCAUCAGACAGGCUUUAGGUGAAAGUGGUCUGUCACUGAGUCAACAAUUAGUUUAGCCAAUAGUUGGUGCUAUUCA